AUAAGACUUUUUCUCUCAUUCAAGUCCAAAAACUUGCAAUUCCAUUGCGGAUCGACGAAGAAAGUACUGUAUCCGACUAGCCGGAUAACAAGCUUUUUCAAUCAGUCGGUCGUUUAAAAUGAAUUGCCCGCCACAACAAAGGUUUGUUGACAUUUUAGGUUAUGUGUCGUCUUUAUCAUGGUCAAAAGCUCAUAAGCUCGCACAGUGAAUUUCAAAUUUAUUGCAAUCAUUUUGAUCUUGUAGUGUGAACUAAAAGAAGGAACAAGUGUGCUAGUAUUCUGUGUUUAUUGUGAUAAUUUUAUUUUGCCUUCAAUUUAUCUUCUGGCGAAUCGUUCAGUGCUGUACCAAAAUUGGCUCUUGCUGGGUUGCGGAGCUCUCUUUCAUCAAGAUCCCACAUUUUACCCUUAACACUGGUUACUGGUGUCUAUACCUUGCUGGACACACCAAUCAUAUUUGCUGUAUCUCACUCCAGAUGGAACGCUCCUGAACACUUUUAAAAUGAAAGGCUACUGCUUGCAAUACCUUCUCUCUAAAUCUGACAAUGUGAUGAUAGAUGAUUUCGCCGCUUUUUUUGUGAAGCAGUCAGAUGUACACUCUCCGUCAUAGCGAAACAAAAGUCUAUCAUUGGAUUCGUGCGACAAGCUAUGCGACAAGCUCUGACUAAAUGCCUGCUAUAUUUGAAAGAAAGUCUGGAAAGGUACUCCUCCGUGCCAAAAGGAGCCUACUUCAUUUGAAUAUCAUUACCCUGCUUAUAGAAAUAAAACAAGAGAUUGUCGAUCAAUAAAAAUAAAUUAGUGAAUAAAUCAUUGAAAUGAAACGAAUCCACUUCUAAAAGUCCCUUUUUUUGAGCCGUAAUAAAAUUGUUUUUUACUCAUCAGCCAGCAAGACUGCAUUUUGUAUCCAUCUCCAUCCCUUAAAACUGGAAGUAGGUAUCCUUUUCCUUCUAAGGUGUAGACAUAUAUCAGUAAUAGUAGUGCUAAGUUUAUAUUUAAUAAUAUAAAUAAAAUUAUUUUCUUCUACUUUAAUUGAGUUGUAUGUACCUAUAAUCGUUUCAAAGUUUAACUUCUUUUCUUUACGUGGUUUGGUCUUCCUAAUUUACUCUUCACUCGAGCUGAUUUUACAAUGCAAGCAUAGAUGUCAGAGAAAAGAGGCUCCGAGUUUGGUGAAAGUAAUACUAAGCUAUUUGUAAGUCCUU
rnacentral:lncRNA from 1 species